GACGUAGGGCGCAAGCGUUGUCCGGAAUUACUGGGCGUAAAGAGCUCGUAGGUGGUUUGUCGCGUUGUUCGUGAAAACUCACAGCUUAACUGUGGGCGUGCGGGCGAUACGGGCAGACUAGAGUACUGCAGGGGAGACUGGAAUUCCUGGUGUAGCGGUGGAAUGCGCAGAUAUCAGGAGGAACACCGGUGGCGAAGGCGGGUCUCUGGGCAGUAACUGACGCUGAGGAGCGAAAGCGUGGGGAGCAAACAGG
rnacentral:rRNA from 1 species